rnacentral:lncRNA from 1 species
CUGAUUCUGAAGUUAAACAUCGACCAGAAGAAGCUGUGCCUCAUUUAUGUGAAUAAAAAUGGACAACCAGCUAAAAAACCACAGACUUCCAUAUUUUUUGGAUCCCUAAGGACUCGUGAACUCAUGCUCCCAGAUUAAAGGAAGGAGGAAAACCGUCCCCUACUUGCUGAACUAGACUGCCUGCUGGUUUCCCAGAGCCCCAGUGGUCUUCAGGAUGGAGACAGUCAUAUAUGACAGCUGGAGAGCAUUAUCACUUGAAGGCUCUGACUGGGAGUGACAGAAGCCAGCCUCUAACUUCGCUGACCUACUUCCCGGCUGCCUCUCCAGCCAGCACCCCACGCAGCAUCCAUUUUAACCAGCUUUUCAAGGUCGGGACUCUUCAAUGCAGAGGCUGGCUUUUGCUUGACACAAAGCCAGGACUUUCAUCCACUGUGCAUUGGGGAAAAGGAAAAUACCAAGCUCUUUUCAGUGCACCAUUGUGA